GGAGAAGGGAAGCCACAGGUCAGCACCUGGGGCCCCGGCUCCCGCCCUGAGAGCCUGCACUGGGGCCGCUCCCCUCUGCGGGUCACAGCCCGUACCACGUGAAUGGGCCUGGCUGUGCUCAGAUAAGGCGUUAGUUUCCCACGCAGAUGAGAAUGGCCUACAGUGUUCACACACGAUGAGAUAUUUUGACUUUCGGCCAUUUAAACAUGUCAAAGCCAUUCCUAGCUUGUGGGCUGUUCACAAACGGGCACCAGGUCGGCUCUAACCUGUGGACAUGGUGUCGUUUGCCAAUCCCUAGGCUAGAGAAAGGGGCACACAUUGGCGACUUCCUUGAUGUCUCUGUAGCAGACAGGACACCUGCGUUCUAGGCAGGAGGACCGCGCCCUUAGCCUCCCCGCGCCACCUGGAUGGACUGAUACUCCUCAGCCCUGCAGCGGCAACCCUGCCUCGCCCGCACAGGCCACCUCCUCCCAGGAACACAGUCCUGACCUGCUGACGGCGGAGCCUCCCCAACUCCGAGGGCACCAGCCUCCACCCCUCCCAACCCCUACCCCCAUCGUAGCAGCUCAAGGCCAGAAGACGCCCUGUCCCGGUCCUAGCACGGGCCUCCCAGACACACCCUGUCCAGGUCUUAGAGGGCAGUGGUGCUUCGUGGGACUCCCCGCAGCGAUCUUGGCUCCAGCGUGAAGCACACAUGUUCUCUAAAUCACUGGUCUUGUUUGUUGCUGGAACGUGAAGAGCCAGAAGAGAACUUGGAAAUCGUUCAGUCCAGCGCCUGCAGGUGAGGAAGCCGAGUCCCAGGCUGGUGGCGAUCUAGGACCAGCCAGCCCGGCAGGGCUGUAGGCACACUGCAGACCAGCUCUCCACAGCCAGUUGCCUGCCUGGCUUUCCCUGAUCCAGUUUUUCAAAAUGGCAUGUGUCCAUGUCAACAGAUCGCUUUAUAAGAAAAAUGAAAUUUCUUACCCCUUUCCACUCCCGGGAGGCAACGCUUUUAAGGCUUUUAACUGUUGUGUUUGGCAUUUCUCUCCGUAUUGUUACUUACACUGCUACUUCUUGAUGGCUUAAAUCGUAUCUUGCUUUUCUACUCAAAAAGUGGGUAAGCAUAGUGGUUCUAAAGCACAGACUUUAACUGUGUGACUUUAGGCAGAUCAUAUAACCUCUCUGUGCCUCAGCUUCCUCAACUGUAAACUGAAGUCACAGCAGCAGCCUGCCUCGGAGACCGCGGUGGGUUACAGCACACAUGGUCCUGUGUGGUCUGUUGACAUGUAGCGUGUGCUGCUGCUGCCAUCACUGUAGAAGCCUGACCUUUGGCUCUCCUACCACAUCCCGCCAUCCUCCCAACAGACUCAUCACAGUUUUGGGCCAGACCCAGAUCUAUUUUGGCAUUAGAACCAUGCAAACAUGGCUCUCAGAUGAGACACAGAGUGUACUUUGAUUACAUUUCCUUUCUUAGACAACUUUUUGUUUUUCUUGAAAUUCAA